GCGACCUGAGGAAGUCGUAUACACAGUGUGGCAGACACCACUUCUGAAAUUCACACCCCCUCCCACCCCCGGAUUUAUUCUCCCACCCCGUGCACGCAGGGACGGACACGCCCCCACUCCUGGGCGGCCCCUAAGAGAGGUUCUAUUUCCCACCAGCCUUAGCAAAAGUCAGGACCUGUGCACUUAAGAAGAGCUUCCCCUACCGGAAAAGGGAUUUCCCAGGAUGUCUCAAGUAGGCAGGCUGUGACUAAGGGAGAGGCCGAUUAGCCUCACUAUGGUAUGUAAAUUGUCAUUCUUCCUUUACUGGCAGUUUCUCCCACUGGAGGAGGAAGUUACCACAGAAAGCCUGGGCAAACCAAGUCUUUCCUCAGUAGCCAGACUGCCAUAACUUCAUUGUAUUUCCCAGAGAGUUAGGUAACUAUUGACUUUUUGACAACUCGGUUACUUGCUUCCCUGAAGGCAAGAUUUUCUGGCAAUGCCUUCUAACUGUGAGCUUAGCUGUGUGGAACUUAAUGAGUCAUACGUAAUUCUGUACGUGCUACUAAUUCCUAUGGAACUAAAAGAGAAAAUUCAUUACAGCAAAAAUGGGCAUUGUUUGGAAAGCUAAUGUUUUAUAUUGGCAGAAAGUUUAAACUUGGUUCUCAAGUUUAAGACUGUCUUGAUGGUAGUUUGUUAAGUCCAGAUUUCUCCAUGAUCCAUUUGCGGUUCAAUCUUUUGUUUUUUUGGCACUAAUAUUUUAGUGUUCAUGAGUUGACUCAUACGGUAUUGAGGUAAUGAAAUACUGGGUAAUGCAGAUAAAAGCGUGCAAAGAUGAUGCUUGGAGCUACACAAAUGAGUCAUUGGUAGAACAGAAGACCUCAUUCCAGACUUGGAGGAGAGGGACCACAGUAGAGCCAGGAAUGCAGAAAGAAAAGAAUGUGUUGCUGAAGGAAGAAAACAAAGAAUUUACAGUCAAUUACUUAAUUUACAUUUUUGUUUACACCUUCCUAUGAGAUAGCCACUUGUAUGCAGGAUAAAUCCUACAAUUCCUGAAAUUCAAAUUCUUUAAAAGAGAAUGAUGAGUAUCUAAGAUGUGGCUGUUGUCUUUUUUUUUUUUUUUUCCUACUUCAUAUCUAGCACCACUUUUUAACUCUGCCUGUGAUCCAGCCAUCCUGAACCCCCUUCAUUUCCUGAAACAAGCCAUGUACCUACCACCUACUGCUUUCUCUGGCUGGAACAUUCCCCUGUCUGGGCCCCCUCCAACCAGUUGACCUGGGAAAUCUGCCUAAUGCUUCUCUUACCCCAUAACCUUAUUUGAUCUCCUUUUACCAACCAGACAGAGCCUUUACUUAGAAUUUACAUAGUGUAUUUACAUGUUUGUAAGUUCACCUCCGUAUCUACAGUACUGUGACACACAGCACAUAUUCAGCACAUUCUGCUGAGUGAAUAAAUUGAUGAAUAUCUACAUGCCACAUUGACAGACUUUUUGCUAUGUGUGUGUAUGUAUACAUGGUUUUGUUUUUUGCUAGUUUCUUGGUCUGGUUUGGGGGUACACUUGUGAAAUGGAGUGAUAUUUCCUUAAGGCAAUAUCCAAAAAUGCAGGUGGGAAUCAAAUUGUUCUGAUUUCUAAAAGUAAGAGUUAUGACUCACAUCUGAUCUGAUUUUAGGGGACAUAAGCAGAGAUUUCCUGGAGACUGACACUUCAUUAACACUAAAACCUGCUCAUCCAAAAAGAAAAAGAAAACUCUAACAUGAAAAUAGUUUCUUCCAGGGGUGCCUGGGUGGCUCAGUUGGUUAGGCGGCUGACUUUGGGUCAGGUCAUGAUUUCUCAGUCUCUGGGUUCGAGCCCCACGUUGGGCUCUGUGCUGACAGCUCGAAGCCUGGAGCCUGCUUCAGAUUCUGUGUCUCCCUCUCUCUCUUUGCCCCUCCCUGCUCCCACUCGGUCUCUCUCUCUCCCUCAAAAAUAAAUAAAUAUUAAAAAAAAUAAAAUAUUUUCUUCCAAACGCUAUCCCCCAAAACAUAGUUAUAUAUAGAUAGAGAUAGAGAUAGAGACAGAGAUAGAGAUAGAGCUACAGAGAUAGAGCUAGAGCUAGAGAUAGAGAUAGAGAUAGAGAUAUAUAGAUGUAGUUCAAGGUUCCUUUCAGCCUUAUCUGUGUAUUUGGUAGUAAUAACCCAGUGGAUAUGGUAACAUUGACCUAGAAAAGUAGUUGGAAAGAUCAUUUCUUGACAGAAAGUACAGUGCUUGGCCUUGGUGUCUUUUGGGUCUCCUCUGUACAGUAUCCUGAUGCAUACUCAACUGUUUCAGCACAGCGUGGUGUGAUGGCUUCCAUUGAAUGAAAAUCCUAUACCGUUACAUUUUUCAUUACAAUUCCUUUGUGUCUUCUGCUAUGCAGUUUAACAGCAAACAGAUUUUCUAUUAGCUUCAGAGAGACAUGUGGUAAUUUAUGAAUUAACAAUAACUCUUCUGGAGAGCCCCAUGUUUGGAUUGAGAAAAUAGGAUCUUGCACUAGGCCAGUCUUAGAAAUAAACUGGACAUUUUCUGUUAGAUAUACCCUUCUUACCUCACCUCCAGCCCGCUUACAUGUACUAUGUACUUAAGAGUAUGAUUCUUAGGGGUAUCUGGGUGGCUCAGUUGGUUGAGCAUCCAACUCUUGAUUUUGGCUCAGGUCAUGAUCCCAUGGUCAGAGGAUCAAGCCUUGUGUUGGGCUCCACCCUGAGUGUAGGGUCUGCUUGAGAUUCGCUCUCUCUCUCUUUCUCUCCCACUCCCCCAUUCAUGCUCUCUUUCUAAAAAAAAAAAAGAGUCUGGCUUUCAGUCAAGCUUUGUUUUGUGAGAAGUCUUACUAGCUGCAAUAACUCUCAGAGAAAAAGACGUGUUUCCAAGGGGAUUCUGAAGAGCCUUCAUUUUUCAAGUCACUAAAAUAUUACACAGAGAAAAAUAAUUAACAAAGAGAGAUAUGGUGAAGAAAAAGGACCAAGGAACUACCAGCCACUAGUUAGUUUGUAACUCUCAUCUGAGUUGAUGAUAAUUCUCUCAGAACUAGUCUAAGAGAGAUCAUCACAGUUCUACAAAUGCUAGGAGGCAUUCUUUAUCAGGUAAAAUAAACAUACCCCCCCUUUUUUUAUUAUCCUUUUAGAAUGAAGGUUGAAAACCUCUUUUGCUUCCUGAAUCUAUUUGCAUGAAUUUUUAGGUGAGUGUGUUAUCCAGGCAGGACUGAGAGCCUUGGCUGGUGACAAAAAGGUCUGACUCUUGACUCAGGUCAUCUAGAUUUGUAUAUUGGCUCUCCCAUUCACUACCCGUGACAUUGGGCAUGAUGCUUAAGGCCUCUAAGGUGCAACUUCCACAUUUGUAAAAUGAGAAUAGUAAUAGUGUCCUUCUCCUAGGGGCCUAAUAGUGUCGUCUUGCUACUUGUAAGAACACAUAUAAAAACUUAGAUACUACUGGUAAUAAUAUGAUCUUAAAGAUAGGGGGACAUUGAUCAAAUUAUUUGUGCAAUAAAUAAUAUGAAAAAAGGAAAGGACCAUCGAUCAUUUAUGUUUCACUUGGCACUGAAUGGAUGCCAAAGGAAAAUAAGCAAAGGUCCCUGCUUCCAAUUAAAUUAAUAUGUAUACACAUAAUAUAUAUCCGCUUGCCUGCAAGAAUUCAGAGAGAGAGCUCACUCCCAGCCUUAAUCCUUAUGGAAGGAGCUGUACUUUCUGCUGGGCCUUGAAGGGUGGAUUGGAUUUUGAUAGAUGGUAAAAGCUGAGGUAUAUUGCUAUAAUGUGAACAACAUAAACGGAAUGGAAGUGGACAAACCUAAGUAUGAAGAAUUGUAAUGAGCCCACUGUAACUAGAGUAGAGCUCAUCUAAAGUUGAUUAGGAUCAAAUUGUGAAAGACUUUAAAUUUCACAUUAAGAAAUUUUGAGAUUAUUGCAUAGGCCAGGGGGAGCCACUGAAGAUCCCUGAGAAAAAGAAUUUUACAUGAUCUGGGUAGCGUUUUUAUAAAAAUAGACCUCGAUAUAUGCAUUAUGUAACAAAUGAGUGAGAUUGAGAACUGCAAUACCACUUCGUAGAUAUUAUCAAAAACAAUAUUUGAAAUAUUUAACAGCGUGUGGUAAUCCAGAUAUUUAACAAUCAGUUCAUCUAGGGCACUCAGAAUGAAUCAGUAAGAUUCCUAUAUUAAUUGUCUUCCUGUCAUUUCUAUCUGGAUUUACGUCUUUCUCUGCUUGCGUAAACCUAUUUCCUGAUCUUCCCCAUAAAACUUGUCUUCCCCAUUACAGUCAAUGGUGACUUUCAUGCUCUAUAUUACAAAUCUUGGAGUUUAUAUAUUUGAUUCCUCUUUCUCACACAACCUGCAUCCAAUUUAUCUGAACAUUUUGCAGGCACUUCAAAAGUAUACCAGAAAGGAGAGCAACACAUUGGCGCAAGACCCAAUUUAAUGAGAGAGUGGCAAGGUGAAAUAAACAUGCCUUUUAAUAACUUUUUCAAAAUGAGAACUUUAGCGUUUGUGUCCUGAUUUUAUUCACAUGAAAAUUUUUAGAGAGCAUCCAAUAGGGGCUGAAAUCUGACUUCGUGUCACAUCCUACCUCUAUGUUUACUAGUUAUGUGACCUUGGGAAGACGCUUAGCAUCUUUGGACUGAUCAAGCCACCUGCAUCCCUUACAUGGAUUAUUGCAAUAACCUAAUAGCCUCUGUGCUUCCACUCUUGCUCCCUUCCUCCAUCUAUUAUCAAUAUAGUAGCUAUUGUGAGUCUUUAAGAACAUGCCAUUUCAUGUCACUUCUCUGCACAAAACUUUUCAGUGACUUCUCAUCGCACUCAGAGAUGAAAGCAGAACUCUGUAGAGUGGCCCACAAGACCAAAUACACUGUAGCCUGUGCUUCUCUGGCCUCUUUCUCAGUGUUCUUCCCUUUGCUCACUCUGCUCUGUGUCCUGUCCACACUGCUGCCCCAUGAGCCUGUUAUGCACACUCCUUGUUCUCUCUGCUUAGAACUUCUUUUUCCUAAAUAUCCACAUGGCUCAUCCCUUCACCUUCAAUAGGUGAUUGCUUAAAUGUCACCUGUUUCUUGAGUUCUUACCUGACCUCCCAAUAUAAAAUUGCUCUCCAACCCAGCAUUUUCUAUCUACCUUUCCUGCUGUAUUUUUCCAUAGUACUAUAUAUAAGAUACUAUAUAUUUUUCUUCUUUGUUGCUCUCCACCAUUAGAAUGUAAACUUCAUUGGCAAUAAUUUUUGUCUCUUGUGUUCAUUCCAUAUUUCUCAAAUCUGAAAUAAUGCCAAUUAUUUUAGUACCUACUCACAUGCACAUAAUGUUCAGACACACAUAAUGGCCCCUCCCUACCCAAAAACUAAAUCAAGAAUAUUCCUGAAUCAGCUACCUUCUUAAGAGACUAUGAAAGAUAUAAAGAUCAGAAUUUCAGCUUCUUAGCCUCAAAACUAGUAAAUCACCUCUCUUUCAGACCCCAAGCCUGGGCUUGGACUAAGAGAAUUGGGUGAGAGAGGAGUCCCAAAUCCUAUAACUUCAUGGGGGCUAAAUGCUUAUGUCUCUCCAGCUUGUAACUCUGAAGCAAUUUUUUCAUGCAAUUUACAAGUGUUGCUUGAAGUCUGUUUCCACUAUACGCUUUUAGUUUUUAGUGCAUCUCAGAUACAUCUUAGGGCAAAUUGACUUUUGCCAACUAGUCUGUAGUCUUUACAAAAUUGCAGACUUUAUGCAACUUCCAUGUCUGAAGAUUUCUCAGCACUGCACAAAGUAUUAAAGGAUCUGAGCCAGUUUGACCAUCAGUCCCCCUCUGGAGUCUCCCUUGGCUCUCCAAAGUAGUGUUAAGUUACUUCCUCCUUUGUGAUCCCAGGGUGCUCUGUGAAGUAUCACUUCCAGUAUUUACAGUAAAACAGUCCUGAAUUUUAUGUACCUUUCUUUUCUGUGAGGCUGUAAGCUUCUUGAAGGUAAUAGACUCAAUUUUUAUCACUUGAACAUUGGGAACUAACAUAGUACCUUCAGAGUUCAGAGUAGUGAUACUGUUCAUUUUUAUUGAAUGAAUCAGUUUAUGCAUGAAUUUUCAGUAGGAAAUCAUAGCACACCUCUGCUUCUCGUAAUACAGUUCAGAGGAUAACGACCACAGUGAUAUACAGAGUUAUACACUUUGCCUCAAAAUCAAAAAAGAUCAAGUAGGAAUACCAAUGUAUUUUUUUUUAAACUGUUCUAUUUCAUUCACUUUUUAUUCACUUUAUUCUCUUUAUGUAUAAAUAUUUUACCCUUUCCUAUUUUGGUUAUAUGAUCUAUCUCUCUAUCUAUCAUUUAUCUCUAUCUUUCUACCUAUCCAUAUCUAUGUAUCUAUAUCUAUAUCUAUAUCUAUAUCUAUAUCUAUGUCUAUAUCUGUAUCAUCUAUAUCUAUCUCCAUAAAAAUCCCCCUUUAAUUUUCUCUUACUCUUGAUUACUAUUUAAUAAAUAAUCAAUAUAAAUAAUUGUACAAGCUAUGGGGGAACUUUUGUUAUUUUUUUAAUGUUUAUUUAUUUAUUUAUUUUGAGAGAGAAAGAGUGUAAGUGGCAGAGGGGCAGAGAGAGAGGGGAAGAGAGAAUCCCAAGCAGGCUCCAAGCUCAGCAUGGAGCCAGACCUGGGGCUUGAUCUCACUACCAUGAGAUCACAACCUGAGCCAAUAUCAAGAGUCAGAUACUAAGUGACCGAACCAGCUAGGUGUCCUACUAUGUGGGAAUUCUUAAAAGGCAUAAAUGUGAUCUUCAGUAAUAUUUCCUAAAUGUGCACAGUGCUUUUUACAUCUUAGGAGACAAGUUAAUAUCUUGAAGUAUUAACUGAUGAUCCCUCCAAAUGAACACUGCUCUUUGUUUUAUGUAACCACUCCUUUGUUUACUUGGUUAAUGGUAUCUUUUGUCUCCAGCACUGAUUAAAUUUGCUGUAAAUGCAAAGGGAGAAACAGCCCUGUUCAACCUGUCAUUUUCAAAAUAGACUCUCCAAACUCUGGAGACCAAAACCAACUUUGAAAACCAAAGCUUUGAAUUGCAAAAGCUAGCAUUUUUUUUCCUGAAAAUUAUGUUAAAAAAAUUUAAAGACUAAUUCCUUUCGUGCAGUUUAUUUUGAAAUACCUCAGAAAAUAAUGUGGAUUUUAUUUGAUUGAUCCAAAAUCAAAUGUGGAUUGAUUGAUGGAAAGAGGGGUGACUAAGUGGAUAGAUGUGUGGUAAACAAGUAGAGAAAAA